GUGAGUCAUCGAAUCUUUGAACGCACAUUGCGCCCGCCAGUAUUCUGGCGGGCAUGCCUGUUCGAGCGUCAUUACAUCCCUCAAGCCCCCGGGCUUGGUGUUGGGGAUCGGCGAGCCUCAGCGCCCGCCGUCCCCUAAAUUUAGUGGCGGUCACGCUGUAACUUCCUCUGCGUAGUAGCACACUUAGCACUGGGAAACAGCGCGGCCACGCCGUAAAACCCCCCAACUUUUGAACGUUUGACCUCGAAUCAGGUAGGACUACCCGCUGAACUUAAGCAUAUCAAUAAGCGGAGGA
rnacentral:misc_RNA from 1 species